rnacentral:sRNA from 1 species
GACGAUCAUUCGGAGUUAAAGCUCCUCGCC